rnacentral:rRNA from 1 species
AGUGACUUCGGUCCAAAGAUUUAUCGCCCAAGGAUGAGCCCGCGUAAGAUUAGCUAGUUGGUGAGGUAAAGGCUCACCAAGGCGACGAUCUUUAGCUGGUCUGAGAGGAUGAUCAGCCACACUGGGACUGAGACACGGCCCAGACUCCUACGGGAGGCAGCAGUGGGGAAUAUUGGACAAUGGGCGCAAGCCUGAUCCAGCCAUGCCGCGUGUGUGAAGAAGGCCUUCGGGUUGUAAAGCACUUUCAGCGAGGAGGAAGAGUUGUGUGUUAAUAGUACACAGCUUUGACGUUACUCGCAGAAGAAGCACCGGCUAACUCUGUG